CACUGCUUUGCCCCUUAAGCUCGAUGGAAACUGUUUCAGCAGGCAAUGGAGAUGUCUGGCGAUGACGUUUUGAAUUUCAUUUUGAAAGAUUUCCUUGACGUAUGAACCUUUAUAACAUGAUGACAAUAUUCAAGCAAUAUCACGGCGGGGACACCAGAAACGGGCUUCAAACAUUGUACCAGUGUAGGGAAUCGACCCCGGGCAUGAUGAGCGAAGGCUUUAACCAGAAGGCUACCCCCUCGACAGAAAACAACACGAGGAAGACAGAAGGACCAGUGUCAUCCAACAAGACAUCACGCUGCUUCCCGUAUCUGGGAGACUUCAAGAUGUUGCACCUAACCGUCUCCAGUCGACUUUAUCUCGCCAAGACUUCGGCUACCAUCGAUUAGGGAAUACCGUUCUUUCAAAAUGAGCAAAUCUGAAGCAAAAAUCUUUGUUGGAAGGUGCUCGCGAAAGCUAACCUCGGCCUUUGUAGGUCAGGGGUUACGUGAGACGUGACUGACGGCAGGAUUUACGAAGAGUCGGCACCACUUUAGGGCAGAAUGCCAUUUUUACCGCUGAUAAGGAAAUGCCAAGAAUAUAAGUUUUUUGUAUAAGAUUACCUUUUAUAUUAAAUUUGAAUUUUCAUUUUUCA